UAUCGAUAUCAAGGAAUAAAUAAAUGAAUUAUGACGAAAGGAAAUUAAAUGGAUGAUCUUUAAAUAUGAAUAAAUAUUAAAAUAAUAUACAUGUAUUUCCCUUUAUUCGGCACUUUGAGCUUUAUAUUUUUUUUUUUUUUACAAUAACGUUUCGACCUUUGUAAUUGAUAAGUCACAAACAAAUACAAUCAUUGGAAACAUAUUUCGAUAUUUAAAUGAUUAUAAGGAUAUAAUCGUUUAGAAAUUAAUCGAUUUGAUGAAUUGAUGAUUGAAGUUAAACAAAGUUAAUAUACUUAUAUAUACUGUCAUUUGUCGUUAUUAAGUCGUUGAAAUAUUAUUAUUCAUCGACUGAUUAUAGUUAUAAUUAUAGUUUUUCCAACAAUUGUAUUUCAAUUUGUGUGAUUAUGGUAAACAUUGGAUAAGUGCCUGAAAAUCGAGAUCCAAAUUAAAUAUUAACGAAAUAUCAAUCUAUAUCGAUCAAGAUUAUAAAUUCCUUUUGUAGAAAGUAAGCGAAAAAAAAUAAAGACUGAAAAUAAUUGAACGUCAUAGUGCAUUAAAGAAAUAUUUACGCCCAAUAAUUAGAUUUGACAAUUUAUUCAAUGUUUACUAUAUUGAAGUACAAAUACAAGUAAGACAAUAGUUACGAGCAA